rnacentral:rRNA from 1 species
AGUGAACGCUGGCGGUAGGCCUAACACAUGCAAGUCGAACGGCAGCACAGUAAGAGCUUGCUCUUACGGGUGGCGAGUGGCGGACGGGAGAGGAAUACAUCGGAAUCUACUUUUUCGUGGGGGAUAACGUAGGGAAACUUACGCUAAUACCGCAUACGACCUACGGGUGAAAGCAGGGGAUCUUCGGACCUUGCGCGAUUGAAUGAGCCGAUGUCGGAUUAGCUAGUUGGCGGGGUAAAGGCCCACCAAGGCGACGAUCCGUAGCUGGUCUGAGAGGAUGAUCAGCCACACUGGAACUGAGACGCGGUCCAGACUCCUACGGGAGGCAGCAGUGGGGGAUAUUGGACAAUGGGCGCAAGCCUGAUCCAGCCAUACCGCGUGGGUGAAGAAGGCCUUCGGGUUGUAAAGCCCUUUUGUUGGGAAAGAAAAGCAGCAGGUUAAUACCCCGCUGUUCUGACGGUACCCAAAGAAUAAGCACCGGCUAACUUCGUG